rnacentral:rRNA from 1 species
AUUGAACGCUGGCGGCAGGCCUAACACAUGCAAGUCGAACGAGUGGCGGACGGGUGAGUAAUGUCUGGGAAACUGCCCGAUGGAGGGGGAUAACUACUGGAAACGGUAGCUAAUACCGCAUACCAUCGGAUGUACCCAGAUGGGAUUAGCUAGUAGGUGGGGGAAAGGCUCACCGAGGCGACGAUCCCUAGCUGGUCUGAGAGGAUGACCGGCCACACGGGAACUGAGAAAGGGCCCAGACUCCGACGGUAGGCAGAAGUGGGGAAUAUUGCACAAGGGGCGCAAGCCUGAUGCAGCCAUGCCGCGUGUAUGAAGAAGGCGUUCGGGUUGUAAAGUACUUUCAGCGAGGAGGCGUUACUCGCAGAAGAAGCACCGGCUAACUCCGUGCCAGCAGCCGCGGUAAUUC